GACAGAGGUGGCAAGCGUUGUUCGGAAUUACUGGGCGUAAAGGGCGCGUAGGCGGCCGAAGAAGUCAGGUGUGAAAUUCCGGGGCUCAACCCCGGAGCAGCAUGUGAAACUGAUCGGCUCGAGUUCAGUUAGGGAAAACGGAAUUCCACGUGUAGCGGUGAAAUGCGUAGAUAUGUGGAAGAACACCGGUGGUGAAGACGGUUUUCUGGGCUGAGACAGACGCUGAGGCGCGAAAGCUAGGGGAGCAAAC
rnacentral:rRNA from 1 species